rnacentral:lncRNA from 1 species
AUUUUAUACAUAUUAUCAAUCAAAAUAAAAUUAUCAAAAUAAAAUUAUAAACAUACAUAUUUGGAUAGAGAUUCGACUAUUAUCCAUAUCUGUAGGUUCGGAUCGAUUUUAGAUUCGAAUUUAAAUAGAAAAUAGUACUAUCCAUAUCCUACUUAUAUCUGUAUUAUAUUUUUUUAAUUUUAUUUUAAUUUUAUUAAAUUUUAUUAUUUAAAUUUAAUUAAAUUUAAAUAAAAUAUAUAUUUAUCGGAUC